UAGAGCAAGGAAACUUGAAAUUUGGGCUAAAAUGGGGAAAAUACCAAGUUGUGGACGAAAUGGUAAAAAUAGCCAUUUUCGCAUACGAGUGUUGACAAGCCAGCUCGGAAAUCGGAAACGGUCGGAGGCACGCUUACACUAUCCGUAUACCAUCUUGGCAUAAUGGCUUGUAUAUUUUGAGUAUGGCAUGUAUAGCAUUAUAAUCAUUUUGUAUAUAUGGUCUUAUGAUAUGGUUAUUGAGUGGUAUGGAAAUAGAAA